UACGUAGGGUGCAAGCGUUGUCCGGAAUUAUUGGGCGUAAAGAGCUCGUAGGCGGUCUGUCGCGUCGGCUGUGAAAUCCCGAGGCUCAACCUCGGGUCUGCAGUCGAUACGGGCAAACUCGAGUAUUGCAGGGGAGACUGGAAUUCCUGGUGUAGCGGUGAAAUGCGCAGAUAUCAGGAGGAACACCGGUGGCGAAGGCGGGUCUCUGGGCAAUAACUGACGCUGAGGAGCGAAAGCGUGGGGAGCGAACAGG
rnacentral:rRNA from 1 species